CCUACGGGAGGCUGCAGUGGGGAAUAUUGGACAAUGGGCGAAAGCCUGAUCCAGCAAUACCGCGUGUGUGAAGAAGGCCUUAGGGUUGUAAAGCACUUUCAAUUGGAAGGAAAACCUCGAAGUUAAUACCUUCGAGUUUGACAUUACCUUUAGAAGAAGCACCGGCUAACUCCGUGCCAGCAGCCGCGGUAAUACGGAGGGUGCAAGCGUUAAUCGGAAUUACUGGGCGUAAAGCGUGCGUAGGCGGCUCGUUAAGUCAGAUGUGAAAGCCCUGGGCUCAACCUGGGAACUGCAUUUGAAACUGGCGAGCUAGAGUUUGAGAGAGGUAAGUGGAAUUUCAGGUGUAGCGGUGAAAUGCGUAGAGAUCUGAAGGAACACCAGUGGCGAAGGCGACUUACUGGCUUAAAACUGACGCUCAGGUACGAAAGCGUGGGUAGCAAACAGGAUUAGAUACCCCAGUAGUC
rnacentral:rRNA from 1 species